UCCGCACUGGUGUAACGGCUAGCAUACCGAGCUUUCACUCUUCUCCAAAGGGGUGGAAGCUCCUCGGAGACCGGGGUUCGACUCCCCGGUGCGGAA